rnacentral:rRNA from 1 species
AGAGUUUGAUCCUGGCUCAGGAUGAACGCUAGCGGCAGGCCUAAUACAUGCAAGUCGAACGGAUAGCACGCCCUGCGAGGACUGCUUCUAGNUGGCCGAAUCGGGUGUCGUAAUCGACGUUUAUAGNCAACCCUGCCGCCACACAACCGCGGGGGAAUAAACCCUGGUCUAAAAGCCGGGGGCUAAACCCCCAUAGUGCCCUUGAUGUCACCUGGGCGCUGAGGGACAAACAUUGAUGGGUAGAGGAUGGGGCUUCCUUCUGAUUACGUAUUGGGCGGGGCUACUGGCCCACCAAGCCCAUUAAUCAUUACGGGNACUAAAAGAAUAUGGAGCCCCACAUGGGUACUGGGAAUACGGGACCCAACUCCUACGGUAGGCACCAGUAGGGAAUAUUGGGCAAUGGGCACAAUGCCUAACCCAGCCAUGCCGCUUGGAGGAUAAAGGCGCUCAGCGUCGUAAACUCCUUUUAUCUACGAAAAACGUGAUCCUUAUGAUGGUACUUGACGGUAGUAGUGGAAUAAGACACCGGCUAACUCCGUGCCAGCAGCCGCAGUAAUACGGAGGGUGCAAGCGAUGUCCGGAUCCAUCGGGUUUACAUGGUGCGUACGUGGCGUCUCAAGUCUGGUCUGAUAGCACGCGGCUCAACGUGUGAUGUGUCUGGAAACUGAGGCGCUAGACUGAGUAGGCUGUAUCAGGANCUGGUCAUGUAGCGGUGAGAUGCAUAGAUAUGACCCAGAACCACUAUUGCUGCGGCUGGCUACUACGACUUGAAUGACGCUGAGGCACGACAGCAUGGGUACAACCAGA